CUGCCUGACCUGCUGUGCUUCUCCAGCACCACAUUUUUGUCUUUGGAUUAACAGUCCAGCGAUAAUAUCACUGGGCCAUCGUCUCGUCCUAACUGUUUUAUAUUUGGGCCUGUAUCUCAUCUCUGUCUUUUUUUAAACAUUUAUUUGUGACAGUAGUUUAUGCUGCCCAUUCCCAGUUGUCGCGCAGAGUGUGUCACCUGCUCGAACUGCUGCAGUAGAACGUGAUAUUGACCACUCGCGAGUUGAACCCAGGCAGCCCCCGAACGGCUGGGACUGAUGUACAACGUAGUUUCAUACUCGGAGACGGGCCAACAGGAGAACCUAGUGAGGUUCUUUCUGGAAUUUGAGGAGCCUUGGAAAAACCUCAGCCAGGAGUGAUGUUGAAAUUGAGGAGAUCCACACCGAUAAGGCAAGUUUCAAAAGCGAAACGUCCUCUGGAUUCCGCAUUGAUUACAAGAAAUGAUGCAGUGAUGAAGACCAGACUCCUGCCUGAGUAAUCAGAUUGUAUUGAUCGGGGUUGGCAGCCCUUCAUUCCUGAUCAAGAUGGAUGCACAGAAGGAAUUUGGCAAGGACUGUUCCGGAGAUAUCGGCCUCUGUAAGCCGAAUGGAAUGACAUAAAAAUCGUGUCACCGAUCGGGUGUUAAAAUGCUUCAGCUACUUUCCAAAGACUCGCGAACCAAGUCUUAACUCAUGUUCCAACCUGUGUAGUUUACUUGGAUGAGGCAUGAAUGUACUCUAAUUUGAUGAUAAAUCUUAUCGAAAGUGA